GGAGGGGUGUCUGAGCGGUUGAAAGAGCCGGUCUUGAAAACCGGUGAACCUUUACGGGUUCCGUGAGUUCGAAUCUCACCCCCUCCGCCA
rnacentral:tRNA from 1 species